AAGUUACGUACUUGAUGAAUCUUCUCUGUCUGAACAAACAGGUGAAGCCCAAACGGGAUCCCUGGCAACAGAAACUCAUCACCAAGCUGAAGGAUCUCCAGUCUUCUGAUGAUUUGCUCAGGGCUCAUUGCAGGUUCCUCCAGCUGUCCGAUCCAGGCCUUGUGACUGAGGCCCUGAGGGAACACGCUUCCCAGAUAGGAAUCCCAAGGAUGUGGAGUACAGCAUAAAAGCAACAAACAUAAUAGAACCUCUUCAGUCGAGAAAAGAAAUGAAAGGUACAUUAUUAAGAAGAACAUAAUAGGAUAACCUGAAUAUGGGUCUCAUUGAACUAAAAUGUCGAUUUGCUGGCUUGUUCGGCAUUUGUUUUCUCUAAGUGAUCCCAGCUAUAGCUACCUGAGCAGCCUGCAGCAGCUGGGGCUGGAUGAAGGCCUGGAGGGGGAUGAGGGUACUACAGACCCUGUCACAGCCAGGGGAGCCUACCUGUCACUGCUCUGCCUUCGACACCUUAAGAUCAGGGAACUGCAGCGCAUCUGCCUGGGCAUUCUGAACUACCUGAGGUCCAUAGAGAGAACACUGACCUUUGACAUGGCUGGGAUGCGCGUGGAGGGAGACGGAGAAAGUUCAGGAGGUGAGGCCGGUGGGGAAGAAGCCAGAGGAAGUGGUCUUGUCAGCAGCGCGGAGGAGUCAAGCUGGAUGAGUGCGGCCAGGGGGGCCAGUGGGACAGUAGGAGGUCUAGGCUCUCACCUCUACAGCCAGAACACUCCUGUUGAUUACAAGGUUCAUUGCUCGGAGUUCAUGCAGUUCCCUGAGGUAGAGAAUCUUCAUGAUUUCUACACCACGGAGGAGAGAUAUGUCCACACCCAGGACCAGAGGGGUCUCUACGUGAUUUACAAUGUGGCCCUGAAUGACCUGCAGGAGCUGGAGGAAGCACUGACUCUACUGGGCUCACACUUCAUCCAGAGGAGCAGCAGAGGGGCUGAGGGGAAUGCCAAGGCUCAGUCUACUGCCCCAGACCUCCAGUUCUCUUGGGCUCUGACAAACGUGGAUAGAGUUGCAGUCCUCCUGGACCUGUGGACCUGUGAAGCGUCAUUUUUGGAGAGCAAAGUGCAGCUGUUGAACUGCUACUUUGAGGCCUACCAGCAUGUGACUGGACCAGAAGAGAGGUUCUCAAUGGCUCAGGUCAUCACAGACAUUAUGCACAGAAGGCCUCGACUAGAUCUGGAUGCUGAAGCUGAGUGCUUCGUUCAGACCUACCGGGCAGAGAUGGUCUGUUUGCAGACACACGAGCAGCUCAUCAGAGAUGUGCUGAACAGCCAGGUAUGGUCCAGAGAAGGUAAUAGUGUGGGGAUAGUUGGAAUCACUACAGGCUCAUGUUGUUAAUCUCUUUUAU
rnacentral:lncRNA from 1 species